UGCAAGUCGAACGAAGUAGCAAUACUUAGUGGCAGACGGGUGAGUAACAUGUAGGUAUCUGCCCUUUGGCCUGGAAUAACACGAGGAAACUUGUGCUAAUACCGGAUAAGUCUUUACGGAGAAAGCUUUAUGCACCAUUGGAUGAGCCUGCACUUGAUUAGUUUGUUGGUGGGGUAAUGGCCUACCAAGACUGUGAUCAAUAGCUGAUUUGAGAGGAUGAUCAGCCACAUUGGGACUGAGACACGGCCCAAACUCCUACGGGAGGCAGCAGUGGGGAAUCUUGCACAAUGGAGGAAACUCUGAUGCAGCGAUGCCGCGUGAGUGAAGAAGGCCUUUGGGUUGUAAAGCUCUUUCGUCGGGGAAGAAAAUGACUGUACCCGAAUAAGAAGGUCCGGCUAACUUCGUGCCAGCAGCCGCGGUAAUACGAAGGGACCUAGCGUAGUUCGGAAUUACUGGGCUUAAAGAGUUCGUAGGUGGUUGAAAAAGUUGGUGGUGAAAUCCCAGAGCUUAACUCUGGAACUGCCAUCAAAACUUUUCAGCUAGAGUAUGAUAGAGGAAAGUAGAAUUUCUAGUGUAGAGGUGAAAUUCGUAGAUAUUAGAAAGAAUACCAAUUGCGAAGGCAGCUUUCUGGAUCAUUACUGACACUGAGGAACGAAAGCAUGGGUAGCGAAGAGGAUUAGAUACCCUCGUAGUCCAUGCCGUAAACGAUGUGUGUUAGACGUUGGAAAUUUAUUUUCAGUGUCGCAGCGAAAGCGAUAAACACACCGCCUGGGGAGUACGACCGCAAGGUUAAAACUCAAAUGAAUUGACGGGGACCCGCACAAGUAGUGGAGCAUGUGGUUUAAUUCGAAGAUACGCGCAGAACCUUACCAACACUUGACAUGUUCGUCGCGACUUUAAGAGAUUAGAGUUUUCGGUUCGGCCGGACGAAACACAGUGCUGCAUGGCUGUCGUCAGC
rnacentral:rRNA from 1 species